UGCUUGGUAGCUCAGUGGUAGAGCAGGUGGCUGUUAACCACUUUGCCACAGGUUCAAAUCCUGUUCAAGCAG
rnacentral:tRNA from 1 species